rnacentral:rRNA from 1 species
AAUAUUGCACAAUGGAGGAAACUCUGAUGCAGCGACGCCGCGUGAGUGAAGAAUGUUUUCGGAUCGUAAAACUCUGUCUUUGGUGAAGUUAAUGACGGUAGCCAAGGAGGAAGCUCCGGCUAACUACUUGCAAGUAGCCGCGGUAAUACGUAGGGGGCGAGCGUUGUCCGGAUUUACUGGGCGUAAAGGGUGAGUAGGCGGUUAUAUAUGUCAGAUGUAAAAGGCUAUGGCUUAACCAUAGUUAGCAUUUGAAACUGUAUGACUUGAGUGCAGGAGAGGUAAGUGGAAUUCCUAGUGUAGCGGUGAAAUGCGUAGAUAUUAGGAGGAACACCAGUGGCGAAGGCGAAUUACUGGACUGUAACUGACGCUGAGUCACGAAAGCGUGGGUAGCAAACA